AGUGAACGCUGGCGGUAGGCCUAACACAUGCAAGUCGAACGGCAGCACAGUAAGAGCUUGCUCUUACGGGUGGCGAGUGGCGGACGGGUGAGGAAUACAUCGGAAUCUACUUUUUCGUGGGGGAUAACGUAGGGAAACUUACGCUAAUACCACAUACGACCUACGGGUGAAAGCAGGGGAUCUUCGGACCUUGCGCGAUUGAAUGAGCCGAUGUCGGAUUAGCUAGUUGGCGGGGUAAAGGCCCACCAAGGCGACGAUCCGUAGCUGGUCUGAGAGGAUGAUCAGCACAGAGGGAAGUGGAGACCGGUCCAGGCUCCUACGGGAGGCAGCGGGGGGGAAUGUGGAGAAAGGGGCGGAAGCCUGAGCCCACCAUACCGCGUGGGUGAAGAAGGCCUUCGGUUGGUAAAGCCUUUUUGUGGGGAAAAAAAAGAAGCAGGUUAAAACCCCGCUGUUCUGGCGGUACCAAAAAAAGAAGCACCGGCGAACUUCGU
rnacentral:rRNA from 1 species